CUUCCUCUGCAGUGUGAGCCUGAUGUGAAUCCUGCCUAGCAACAGUCGCACAGCAGCCAUUUUGACGCUUGUUGCAAGUGUGAGCCUGAUAUGAAUCCUGCCUAGCAACAGUUGCACAGCAGCCAUUUUGACGCUUCUUGCAAGUGUGAGCCUGAUAUGAAUCCUGCCUAGCAACAGUCGCACAGCAGCCAUUUUGACGCUUGUUUCAAG